UGAGGAAGCACGACCCCAAAUGGCUAUACUGGGACAAUUUCUGAGCUGCAAAGGCUUGCAUUUUGGAUCAGUGCUGAGUUGUUUCUGGCAGUUGUGCUGGAAGCAGUCCCAGAAUUUCCAGGCCACCUUAAGAAAGUCUUGAAGAACCAUACAGCUCAUGCAUGUGAAGUAGAGAAACUGGGACUCACUUGCCCACAAAAGACAUCUAUCAGCAUCCUUUCUGCUUUUUAUGGUCAUAAAGUCCCUGAUGAAAACUUUUGUCCAACUCCAGUUGAUAAGACCAGUGAAAAUGCCACCUGUGUGUCAGUCACAGCUAGACAGAAACUCCUGGAUGAGUGCAAGGAUGAAUGAUGGUGUCAGAUAUCUAUGAAUAGUCAAAUGUUUGGACAGGAUCCAUGUCCUGGCAUAUACAAGUAUCUUAUAGUAUCUUAUAAA